UGGCGGCGUGCCUAAUACAUGCAAGUCGAACGCUUCUUUUUCCACCGGAGCUUGCUCCACCGGAAAAAGAGGAGUGGCGAACGGGUGAGUAACACGUGGGUAACCUGCCCAUCAGAAGGGGAUAACACUUGGAAACAGGUGCUAAUACCGUAUAACAAUCGAAACCGCAUGGUUUUGAUUUGAAAGGCGCUUUCGGGUGUCGCUGAUGGAUGGACCCGCGGUGCAUUAGCUAGUUGGUGAGGUAACGGCUCACCAAGGCCACGAUGCAUAGCCGACCUGCGAGGGUGAUCGGCCACAUUGGGACUGAGACACGGCCCAAACUCCUACGGGAGGCAGCAGUAGGGAAUCUUCGGCAAUGGACGAAAGUCUGACCGAUCAACGCCGCGUGAGUGAAGAAGGUUUUCGGAUCGUAAAACUCUGUUGUUAGAGAAGAACAAGGAUGAGAGUAACUGUUCAUCCCUUGACGGUAUCUAACCAGAAAGCCACGGCUAACUACGUGCCAGCAGCCGCGGUAAUACGUAGGUGGCAAGCGUUGUCCGGAUUUAUUGGGCGUAAAGCGAGCGCAGGCGGUUUCUUAAGUCUGAUGUGAAAGCCCCCGGCUCAACCGGGGAGGGUCAUUGGAAACUGGGAGACUUGAGUGCAGAAGAGGAUAGUGGAAUUCCAUGUGUAGCGGUGAAAUGCGUAGAUAUAUGGAGGAACACCAGUGGCGAAGGCGGCUCUCUGGUUCUGUAACUGACGCUGAGGCUCGAAAGCGUGGGGAGCAAACAGGAUUAGAUACCCUGGUAGUCCACGCCGUAAACGAUGAGUGCUAAGUGUUGGAGGGUAUCCGCCCUUCAGUGCCGCAGCUAACGCAUUAAGCACUCCGCCUGGGGAGUACGACCGCAAGGUUGAAACUCAAAGGAAUUGACGGGGGCCCGCACAAGCGGUGGAGCAUGUGGUUUAAUUCGAAGCAACGCGAAGAACCUUACCAGGUCUUGACAUCCUUUGACCACUCUAGAGAUAGAGCUUCCCCUUCGGGGGCAAAGUGACAGGUGGUGCAUGGUUGUCGUCAGCUCGUGUCGUGAGAUGUUGGGUUAAGUCCCGCAACGAGCGCAACCCUUAUUGUUAGUUGCCAUCAUUCAGUUGGGCACUCUAGCAAGACUGCCGGUGACAAACCGGAGGAAGGUGGGGAUGACGUCAAAUCAUCAUGCCCCUUAUGACCUGGGCUACACACGUGCUACAAUGGGAAGUACAACGAGUCGCGAAGUCGCGAGGCUAAGCUAAUCUCUUAAAGCUUCUCUCAGUUCGGAUUGCAGGCUGCAACUCGCCUGCAUGAAGCCGGAAUCGCUAGUAAUCGCGGAUCAGCACGCCGCGGUGAAUACGUUCCCGGGCCUUGUACACACCGCCCGUCACACCACGAGAGUUUGUAACACCCGAAGUCGGUGAAGUAACCUUUUGGAGCCAGCCGCCUAAGGUGGGAUAGAUG
rnacentral:rRNA from 1 species